rnacentral:rRNA from 1 species
CAGCAGCCGCGGUAACACGAAGGGUGCAAGCGUUACUCGGAAUUACUGGGCGUAAAGCGUGUGUAGGUGGUUGUUUAAGUCUGUCGUGAAAGCCCUGGGCUCAACCUGGGAAUUGCGAUGGAUACUGGGCGACUAGAGUGCGGUAGAGGAUAGUGGAACUUCCGGUGUAGCAGUGAAAUGCGUAGAGAUCGGAAGGAACAUCUGUGGCGAAGGCGACUAUCUGGGCCAACACUGUCACUGAGACACGAAAGCGUGGGGAGCAAACGGGAUUAGAGACCCCUGUAGUCCCUGUCUCUUAUAC